rnacentral:rRNA from 1 species
CGNGGCUUUCUGGUUAAAUACCGUCAACCCUUGAACAGUUACUCUCAAAGGUGUUCUUCUUUAACAACAGAGUUUUACGAGCCGAAACCCUUCUUCACUCACGCGGCAUUGCUCCAUCAGACUUUCGUCCAUUGUGGAAGAUUCCCUACUGCUGCCUCCCGUAGGAGUAGGGGGAAUCUUCCACAAUGGACGAAAGUCUGAUGGAGCAAUGCCGCGUGAGUGAAGAAGGGUUUCGGCUCGUAAAACUCUGUUGUUAAAGAAGAACACCUUUGAGAGUAACUGUUCAAGGGUUGACGGUAUUUAACCAGAAAGCCACGGCUAACUACGUGCCAGCAGCCGCGGUAAUACA